CAUCAAUGCUGAAAGGUACAUCCAGGUUUUGGAGCAACACAUGCUGCCAUCCAAGCAAUGUCUUUUUUAGGGACGUCCCUGCUUAUUUCAGCAAGACAAUGCCAAGCCACAUUCUGCUUGUGAGUAAACAGCGUGGCUUCGUAGUAAAAGAGUGUGGGUACUAGACUGGGCUGCCUGCAGUCCAGACCUGUCGCCAAUUGAAAAUGUAUGGCGCAUUAUGAAGCACAAAUACGACAACAGAGACCCCGGGCUGUUGAACACCUGAAGUCGUACAUAAGCACGAAUGGGAAAGAAUUCCAUCUACAAAGCUUCAACAAAUUAGUGUCCUCAGUUCC